rnacentral:rRNA from 1 species
AACGAACGCUUGCUGCAUGCUUUAUACAUGCAAGUCGAACGAAGGCCCUAGCUUGCUAGGUGUCCUUAGUGGCGCACGGGUGAGUAACACGUGGGAACAUACCUCAUAGUACGGAAUAACUGCGGGAAACUGUAGCUAAUACCGUAUAUUCCAGAAAUGGGAAAGAUUUAUCGCUAUGAGAUUGGCCCGCGCAAGAUUAGCUUGUUGGUAAGGUAACGGCUUACCAAGGCUCCGAUCUUUAGCUGGUUUGAGAGGAUGAUCAGCCACACUGGGACUGAGACACGGCCCAGACUCCUACGGGAGGCAGCAGUAGGGAAUAUUGGACAAUGGGGGAAACCCUGAUCCAGCAAUGCAGCGUGAGUGACGAAGGCCUUAGGGUUGUAAAACUCUUUCAUCGGUGAGGAUAAUGACAGUAGCCGAAGGAGAAGGACCGGCUAAUUCCGUGCCAGCAGCCGCGGUAAUACGGAAGGUCCUAGCGUUGUUCGGAAUUACUGGGCGUAAAGCGCAUGUAGGCGGAACAAAAAGUUAGAAGUGAAAUCCCUGGGCUCAACCUAGGAAUUGCUUUUAAAACUUUUGUUCUGGAAUUCAGGAGAGGAAAAUGGAAUUUCCAGUGUAGAGGUGAAAUUCGUAGAUAUUGGAAGGAACACCAGUGGCGAAGGCGAUUUUCUGGACUGAUAUUGACGCUGAGAUGCGAAGGCAUGGGUAGCAAACGGGAUUAGAUACCCCGGUAGUCCAUGCAGUAAACGAUGGGUGCUAGUCGUCGGACUUUUGUUCGGUGUCGUAGCUAACGCGUUAAGCACCCCGCCUGGGGAGUACGGUCGCAAGAUUAAAACUCAAAUAAAUUGACGGGGACCCGCACAAGCAGUGGAGCAUGUGGUUUAGUUCGACGCAACGCGAAGAACCUUACCAGCGUUUGACAUGGGAAGUGCCGGUUACAGAAUGGUAACCUUCAGUUCGGCUGGCUUC